GCAAGGUGCAUCUUGGAAACGAUUGUGCAGAUCAGUUUCGGAAUUAAGCAGUGGCACCUUAUCAAUGAAAAUAUCCUAAGCUAGAACUAAUGAUGGAGCAAGCUAAAGGCUUCUGGUCUAAUAGUACCAACUAGUAUGGCGAAUGGGAGAGACCUCCACCCCGUCAUGAAUUGUGGAUAUGAAUGUACAAAUCUGUGAUUACUGGAUUUGAUACUCAGAACUGUUCCUGUUAGAAAGUGAAUCGAGGCUGAUGCAUAAUGCAAGAGAAAUAGGGUAAAGUUGCUGAAGCCGCAGACAUUCUCCAAGAACGUCUGUUCAAGACCAGUGAUUCUAUGGAAAAGCUAGAAAAUUGAACAGGUUGAGCUUAUCCUGAAACCAAUGAGAUUGUUUCUUCUUCAUCUGCACUCAGAUCAUUUUGAAGAAGAUAAGUGUCAGAUUUGUUUUUAGAGAAACAUGUGCUAAGUCUUAAAGUGAAAUUUUUUCAUGUAGGAAUACUUUAACGUUGUUCCAUUUGUCUUAUUAAGCGUGGGAAGGUGGAGAGGAAAUGUUGGUAAAUUAUUCAUCAUUGUGUAGAUUCCUGAUAGAUGUUGACAAGAACAGGUAUUACAUCUCUACAUUUGUUAACAUAAUCAAGCCAUGUAUAACAUAACAGUGAUCCAAGAGAAAGAGCUUCUGCAAUUGUUGGUGGUUGUCGAGCUGAUGUUUCGCCGACACGCUGUGUCAAUAGUACAAACUAGUAUGGCGAAGGGAGAGACCUUCCUCCCGACAAUGAUAUCAUUAACAUAGUUAAUGAGGAUGGCGAGAAACGGUGGAAAGUUACCGAAUACGUCUUGUAUAGAAUGUCCGAAUCAUGGCCAAACACUACAGCCUUGUGACGAUCAAUGGAUGGUUGCACACUUUGACUAUUUUGUUGAGGGAAGAGAAGAAUUUCAAUCCAAUUUAAUGUGCAGAAGGACGGACGUACUCUGUUGGGUGGUAGAGAAGAAUCGCGAUGCUAUUCGAUAACACGAAUGAGGCGGAUGAACACUUUGUAAACCUGGAUUAACUAUGCAAAUUAGAUUGCAUCACAUCUGGAAUUUAGCUGCGUGUAAUGGGUUCAACAUAUCAGCAGAAAUAGACCAGAAUAAGUCAUUCAAUGAACUGGGCAUUGGAAUGUGGGAGAAUGAGAUAUAUUGCUAGGAAUUUGAAGAAAUGGUAAGUGAAGGAGAAAUGAUCUAACACCAAAAGCCUAUAAGAUUGAGCGUUGGCAGAACAUUGCAAGUGCUUUGUUGAAGGAUAGGCAAUGAGGUAUGUUUAAAAAAAUGGCGAUUAAUAAUUCAGUACGGAAUUGCAUAAUGUUGCUAGUCUGGGGUAAAAGUUUACUGGUUUAGUUUUUUUUAUUUUGAUUUACGUGAUAGGUUAAAUCAUAUUAAAAUUAUUCGUUUAAUAUUCCUUUCCGAUUGGGUGUACAUAAUACACGUGCCCACGGAAAAGAUAUAUUACCCCGCGGAAUAAAAAUAAUGCGUAAAACGCAAAGCAAUAAUAAGCCUUUCCGAUUGGGUUUAUUUAAUACACUAGCCCACGAAAAGGAUAAAAUAACUUGAAGGAAUAAUAAAAAUGCGCAAGAAAAACAAAUGCAGGGUGUUGGGUUUAUAAAUUGCACAUAUAUUUAGCUUGCCGUUCAUAUGCCUUGCAAGAACGGAAAUUUUAUUUUAAGAGGGUUAUUUUAUUCGUGCUGUAAUGAUAUUAACAUUGGUAAGUCUGGAGAUAUGCAAGACAUUUUACUUGUGAACUGUAAAAUGUAUAAGGCGAUAUGUAGAAAGAGAUGGGAGUUUUGGUAAUUAUAAAUGGGUUUAUAUCAACCGUAAAAU